CACCAUUCUAAACAUCCCAAACACUCUUUCUGUUCAUCAACUCGACGGAGCAAGAGGAAUCAACUCGUACUGCCGCCAGAGAAGACGACCGGAGUUCGAUGGAACUCCACUCCGUCCCUGUUGCGACGUUACCGGAGAGUACCUGCAAGUGGCCGGAGCUCGCAUCGAUACCGGGAUCCACCGGAGUUUACGACAGAAACCAACUGUUUCGGUUGAUAGUCAAGAUGAUGAAGGAAUCAAGUUAGGACGGUCUAGAUACGCAUUUUAAUAAUAAACCAUGUUUGUUGAAAUUUGUCUUUAUUUGAAACAAUGUAUUUGAAUUUAGCCAUUUAUGAAAUUUGAUUUAAUCUAUA